GAAAUGCGAUAAGUAAUGUGAAUUGCAGAAUUCAGUGAAUCAUCGAAUCUUUGAACGCACAUUGCGCCCCCUGGUAUUCCGGGGGGCAUGCCUGUUCGAGCGUCAUUUCACCACUCAAGCCUCGCUUGGUAUUGGGCGACGCGGUCCGCCGCGCGCCUCAAAUCGACCGGCUGGGUCUUCUGUCCCCUCAGCGUUGUGGAAACUAUUCGCUAAAGGGUGCCACGGGAGGCCACGCCGCAAAACAAACCCAUUUCUAAGGUUGACCUCGGAUCAGGUAGGGAUACCCGCUGAACUUAAGC
rnacentral:misc_RNA from 1 species